GAUGAACGCUGGCGGCGUGCCUAAUACAUGCAAGUCGAGCGGACGGACGCGAAGCUUGCCUCUCUUAUGUUAGCGGCGGACGGCCGAUUAACACGUGGCUCACCACCCUAUAAGACUGGGAUAACUUCGGGACACCGUAGCUAAUACCGGAUAAUAUUUUGAACCGCAUGGUUAAAAAGUGAACGACGGUCUUGCUGUCACCUAUCGAUGGAUCCGCGCUGUAGUAGCUAGUUGGUAAGGUCACGGCUUACCAAGGCGACUAUGCAUAGCCGACCUGAGAGGGGGAUCGCCGACACGGGAGCGGAGACACGGACCAGGCUCCUACGGGAGGCAGCAGUAGGGAAUGGUCCGCAAUAGGGGAAAAUAUUACGGAACAGGGGCGCGCGUGUGACGGCGGUCUUGGGAUAGUGAAACUCGGUUAUGAGUUGAGAACAUAUGUGAAAGGAUCUGUGGAGAUAGUGACGGUACCUAAACAGGAAGCCACGGCUAACUACGUG
rnacentral:rRNA from 1 species